rnacentral:rRNA from 1 species
GUUUGAUCCUGGCUCAGAACGAACGCUGGCGGCGUGGAUUAGGCAUGCAAGUCGAGCGAGAUCUUAUCGUUGAAUCCUUCAGGUGAAGAUUUUAAGUGAUAGCGGCGAACGGGUGAGGAACACUUGAGUAAUCUGCCUUUAUGUCCGGGAUAGCCUCGGGAACCCGUGAUUAAUACCGGAUGUGGUCGGUCAACGCAUGUUGACCUGUCUAAAAGUGGGGAUCCUGCUUGCAGGACCUGUUGCAUAAAGAUGGGCUCAAGUCCUAUCAGCUUGUUGGUGAGGUAACGGCUCACAAAGGCUAAGACGGGUAGCUGGUCUGAGAGGAUGGUCAGCCACACUGGGACUGAGACACUGCCCAGACUCCUACGGGAGGCUGCAGUCGAGAAUCAUUCACAAUGCACGAAAGUGUGAUGAUGCGACGCCGCGUGGAGGAUGACGGCCUUCGGGUUGUAAACUCCUGUCAGGAGGGAACAAAUUUACAGAUGCGAAUAACAUGUGUAACUGAUGGUACCUCCAGAGGAAGCCACGGCUAACUCUGUGCCAGCAGCCGCGGUAAUACAGAGGUGGCAAGCGUUGUUCGGAUUUACUGGGCGUAAAGGGUGCGUAGGCGGUUUCGUAUGUCGGAUGUGAAAGCCCACGGCUCAACCGUGGAAAUGCAUCCGAAACUGCGGAACUAGAGUACUGGAGAGGUGAGUGGAAUUCUCGGUGUAGCGGUGAAAUGCGUAGAUAUCGAGAGGAACAUCGGUGGCGAAGGCGACUCACUGGACAGAUACUGACGCUGAGGCACGAAAGCUGGGGGAGCAAAGAGGAUUAGAUACCCUCGUAGUCCCAGCCGUAAACGGUGUACACUUGGUGUAGGAGGAUUUAUCCCCUUCUGUGCCGGAGCUAACGCGUUAAGUGUACCGCCUGGGGAGUACGGUCGCAAGAUUAAAACUCAAAGGAAUUGACGGGGGCCCGCACAAGCGGUGGAGCAUGUGGCUUAAUUCGAUGCAACGCGAAGAACCUUACCCAAGCUUGACAUCCUGGUCGUACCUACCCGAAAGGUGUGGGUCAGUUCGGCUGGACCAGUGACAGGUGCUGCAUGGCUGUCGUCAGCUCGUGCCGUGAGGUGUUGGGUUAAGUCCCGCAACGAGCGCAACCCUUGUCCCUAGUUGCCAUCAGGGAGUGAUCCGCUGGGCACUCUAGGGAGACUGCCGGUGACAAGCCGGAGGAAGGUGGGGAUGACGUCAAGUCAGUAUGGUCCUUAUGCUUGGGGCUGCACACGUGCUACAAUGGUCGGUACAAUGGGAAGCUAUACCGCGAGGUGGAGCAAAUCCUGAAAACCGGCCUCAGUUCGGAUCGUAGUCUGCAACUCGACUACGUGAAGCUGGAAUCGCUAGUAAAGGCGUAUCAGCUACGACGCCUUGAAUACGC